rnacentral:tRNA from 2 species
GCGAAAGUGGCUCAGCUGGUAGAGCAUCGCCUUCCCAAGGCGAGGGUCGCGGGUUCGAAUCCCGUCUUUCGCUCCA